CGCUAGCAAGUUAGGCGACCUUCAGGCGGUCAACCAGCCCCGAGGCGGUGGAAAUGCAAACUGUCCCGACCUGUCCGGCCCGCGGGGUCAGACUCGGGGUGGGGCCCAGCGCCGCCGGCGAUCCGCGUGCGGGCUGUAGAGAGUCCAGGACCUUGCGCUUGUGAGGCAAGCAGCGGCACCACUGAGCUAAAACCCUGGACCUCCAUUUAUUGAUUUAUUUUUUCCGCCACGGUGUGUUAAGAGACUCUUCAAGCCAAUAUAAAUAUUUGGCCAUUUGGGUGUACACCUGCACAGUAUCUCACAUCUUUCAGCAAGAAAAAUACUGAAAAAUAAAGGACCUCAUACAACAAACUAGAUCCAAUGAGAAUAUGCUCCAGGUUUCAGAAGUGGGAUCUGGGAUUGCCGGUACCCUGACUUAGGGUCAGAGGCCUGAAACCCAAGACCCCUGACGCUCUGACUGGCCCACCCAAAGUCCACGGCCAUCUUCCCUGACACCAGCCCUGCAAACAACACCACUGCAAUUGAUCCCAUCGCCCCCUGACUUUUAGCCAUAUCCACAGGACCUCAUCUACGCUAUUGAGCCACCUCCACGGGACCUCUGAAGGUCAAACUUACUCGGAUUCCAGAAGACCUGGUUGCCCAGGAUCCUUCACCAUCAUCCAGUCCUGAGUCAGGUAAGCCAACCUAACUGUUUACCCUCUCAUCCUCUCAUGGGGUGAUACAUUCCACACUACAGCACCCACUGAUAUCCUAAGUCUUCUUAUAUUAGCUCUCCUGGGACUUGUCCUUGGGACAGGAUUGGCUGCAGUAGCUCCUCCCAACUAAAAUUUUACUUCCAGGUGUGUACUCUCAUUGACCUAUUACCUCAUAAUCUCACUCUCUGCCAUUCUUAAUUGCUAGAGACAAUAAUGGUUCCUUUCCUGCUCCUGUUUUCUCUCCUAAAUCUCACCCAAGCCAAUAGGUCCUCGUGUGCACCUUGACUUGCUCCUGGCCUAACUCAGCCCUCCUUCAGACCCAGGUCAGUCGUCUCUCCACUCAAGUCUCCAACAGAUGGCUCAUCACCAGCUGAUACUUCAGGCCGGAGACCUAAGCCAGACCACCUUGUUUACAUGGCAGCCAACCGACUAACCAUAGCUCAGAUCUCGGCUCGGUUCGAACAUUUUCUAAAUGAUCUUCAGAUUGAUAUUCUCUGGUUUGCUCCCCACCUUUGUCCUGUUACCCACAUAGCCAACUGGGUCACUAAUGCAUGGCUCCGAGGAACUUUAUCAGAUUUCAUCCCAAACUAAAAUCACAAUCUCUACCUUUUUACUUGUUCUAUUAAUCCUCCAGCCCAGUCCACAGCCUCAUACAGAUUAUCUUCUACCCUUCUCUCCUCCCUCACUAACUGAUUGUGUGCUUGGACUCUUCUCAGGGAGCCCUACCAACAAUUCCAGUAAAAAGGCUAAUAUGGCUGUCAACAAUUCCAUGUUCAUAAAGGACAACAACGCUGGCUGUGCCCCACGCCUGCCCCUAGACAGCUUCGUCUCCCGUGUCUGUAACUCUCCCGUAGUUACAGAAGACAGGCACACCGCCCCUUUUCCCUGGCGUAUAACAUGUGCUGGCUGCUGUCUCCAUCUAAACCAAGGAGGGGUGAAUGACGCUGCCAUCACAGGCUGCUGCAUUUUCCUGGUGCUUCUUGGCUCUUAAAGACCUCAUGCUCUUUAGUUUCCCUUCCUUCCAAGGCCACAGAGGUCUGGCGAGGUUAAACCUGUUUCUGCAAGACCGAACCAGUAAAGGGCAACCUGGCCUGUGAUGGGUUAAAAGU